CCAUGUUCGGAUUUCGGAAGGAAUCUGGCACUUUAUCUUCUGAGGCCACUUGACCUGUUGGCCCAUAUGGCUCAAAACGUUGACGAUUUCGGGUUUUGAGAUGGAGAUAUGGGAGAUAUCGGGCCAUGUGGACAUUUUCAUCCAUUCGGCUUUCUCCAAGGGACGGUUCUGAUACCUGCUCCGGUUUCUGUUUCCUGCCUCUUUUCCUGACUUUUGAUGGGAUCUUUAGUCUUGGUCGUUUUUAUCUUGCUUGGUCAUCUUCUGGUCAUGUUUCUGUUGGACCUUUGAUCAACUUACGACGUCUUCUUCCCACUUCACUUGCACCCAGGCUCGGGACAACAUGUCUUCCAUAGUCUUGCAUUGGUAUGUACUAUUCGCAUACACUUUGCCAAAUAAAAAAAUCAAAAGGAAGAUGAACAAGACGGACUGCAUCAGCGUCACUGUUCAUUGGAAUUAAGAUAAAAAAAUUCAUACAAAAGAGAAGAGAGAGGGAAAUAAUCAGAAAAAAAACUACAUGUUGGUCCAAAGACUUGCUUAAGAUGAGUUUAUGUGUUCAGUGAUCGAUACUCACAAGAUUUAGCCUACACAUAUAUUUGUAAAACUGAGGUCAGUAUAGGAGUAUGUCAGGAGCUAUUCACUACAGGAAAUGUGAGUAUUAAUAACAUCAUAUUAUAGCGUUUAUGACAGUUCUUCUAUUGUAUACCAACAUUUGUUUUUUUAAUAGCGUUUGUUAAUCUAAAACGUUAUAUUUGUUAUCGCGGGAAAAUAAAUAUUUUAGCCGCCUUAAUUUACUAAGUAUAGAUGUCUUACUAUCGCAGAUCCAAAAUUAAAGGCUAUUGUAAUGUAAAAUAUUUCAAUUUCUAAUCAUAAUGGGGUUGAUUGGUAGAGGCUGUAGCUUUAAAUUUUUUUCUUUAAGAUUUAAGCUGUAGAUUUUGUGGCUUUAGCUUUAAAUUUUAUUGUUGUAGUUUUAUUUCAAAGUUUUAAAAGCACUAAACCUAAAACCGUAGAAAAAUUGAUUUCUAGAAACAUUAUAUUUCCUUUUAAAGAUUUUGGGCUCUGGCUUUAUUUUUUUUAUUAAUAAAGCUUGAUUGCUUUGAUUUUAUUGCUCUAGAGAGAAUUAUGGCUGUGUAGAGCACUCAUACAUACAUACCCGUCGGCUUUCUUCACUGUUUUUUUUUUAACUUUUCUUCACUGUUUCUCAUAGAACAAAACCCUUUUUUUUUACAUUUUUUGGUAAAAAUGUUAAAGUAUUAUUACCAGAUUUUUCAUUUUUACAGAGUUUACAGAGAUAACAAGAAACAGAUUUGCAAAAUUUAAUAUAAACAAAAGAACCUACUGAAAAAAUGAGCAAAUCAAAGAACAAGAGAUAAGGCUUAGAACUAGACACCACGAGAGGCAGAGGAAUGAGCGAAGUGAGGAAUCAGUUGUCGCGAGCUACCGGAGAGAAAGACGCCCUCAAACAUUGAAACACACUUCUCUUGCAGCUUCUGAUCGACCCAUGAGCCACAACCUGCACAGAGAAACACAUCUCGGACUCGCUCGCUCACCCAAGAAGAACCGCACCGGCAACACGAGGAGGGAUCUGCAACCGGCGAUGCCGUCGUACGGAGAAGGACGACUGAAGAUUGCUGCCUCCAACCUCCCCCCCCCCCAACCCGUGACCGUGUACAUCCAUUUAACCGAGCGCUCAAAAGAACAAUCAAACAUGAAGAGAGCACCCCCUCCGGAGAAGCGCCACCAAGUGAACAAGAAAGCCGAAAGAUCCAGUGAAGCUUAUCCUACACCACAGACCCAAAGCGCAAACACUAAAACCCAAACCACAGCAAUGCUCACAUGGAGAAAGGGACGGCAACAGGAGGGCCACACCACCGAGCACACACCAACUUUGAAGAGCAGUCGUCACCAGCACGCACCAAGGAGACCAAGACACACACACGGAUGGGACAACCCACGCGCGCUGCCACCACAGACCACAACGGGAAGAGGAGAAAAUCCACUCACCAAGGUCCAAGACAUGCCACCACCAUAGACCAACGGCGGUUCCAAAACUUAGGUGAAAGGCCGUAGAUCCAAGAACCCAUACCCCUAACCUGCUGAGAAGCGACUCCCGAACAGCCACUCGAAACACUGAAGAGGAGACAAACCCGAGAUAGGUUACUCAGCGCCUCACGCGCCACCGCCUCGCGGAAAACCCGACCCCUAAAAGGGAAAUCUUCUGGACAGAGACCUCAGAGAGAAAUCCAGAGACUAACACAACCAGCGAGGAGCCGUCCUAAAACUCCACCGACAUCGCCAUGCUCCGUCCGGAUCUAACCUUAGAUCUCCAGAUCUGAACCAGAAACCCUAGGUUGAGCACCACCUCCCCCGCGAAAUAGAAAGCACAGACCACAGAGACAAAUAAGGAGAAGCAGAGAAGAGACACAAGGAUCAUUUAUCUUGAAUAGAAAAUGAACUUUUUCUCUCUCCAUCGUUUUCUCUCCCCCUUCUCUCUAGGUUUCUGCCUCAUAUUUUUGCUUCUCCGGCGCCGCCAUGUCCUUCUAGGCGGUUGCCGGAGCCCCAUAACGAAACCCUAUUUUUCUUCAUUGUUUCUCAGAAUUUUUCUUUCAUAAAUCCUUAGGUUUCCAAAUCGAUAUUUUCUUCUGGCGUUUUCAUCCGGAGAAAGCGCCGGAGGUUUUGGAGUCAGCUCCUCACCGUCUCCAAUUGUCGUUGGCUAUCCCUCGCCGUCGCAGUUAGCUCCUCACCAUCUCGGAGCUUCACUGCGACCAAGCUUCUUCGUCUUGCUCUGUCGUCAUCGUCGUUGGGCUUCAGAUCCGGCGAAGAGAAAGCUUCGAUCCUCUCCAAUGGUGGAGUUUUACGUAGUUGCAAGACAGGUCCCUCAACUUCUGCUUUUUAUUUCAGAUAUUUGUUUCCAGAGCAGCCCGAGUUUGAAGAUGGUUUUAACGAGAAUGCAGAAGAUCUAGCAACAACCAUGUUGGAGCUCUGGAAUUUGAUGGAUACACCCAUAGAAGAGCAGCAAGAGUAUCAACAUAUUACCUGCAAUAUAGCUGCAUCAGAACAUGAAAUAACUCAAGCCAAUACGUUGAGGCAGAACACAGUCUCUGGCUUAUGAUCAAAGAGGCAGAGGAAAAGACUAUGGGAGGUAUCUUACAUGAAUCCACAACUCAAUCAAAACCUUAAGUGUUGGAGAGGAAUUACAUAUCCCUCCACAAGGUCCAUCUAAUAAUCGGACUUGGCCCAUAUCUGCCAUUAAGCCCGACCAAAGUUGGUCAAGCCGACUUAGAAUUCAACUGAAGACGUUGAUCGAUCGACUCAACCAAGACACCAUGGACUCGUUCGAUCGGCUUCGGCUCGAAGAGAUUUUUAUUCGGCUUAGAGGCCCAUUCAACGUGGUCUCGGGCUUGGGCUUUUAGGGCGAGCAAGCUCUUGGGCGAAUUGAGAGCGGAUCUCAGCUAUAAAAGGAGAAGACAAAUGAAUAAAGAGGUGAUCCGAAAUAGACACUAAAACACUGGCGGCAAGAUUUAAGGUUUUACAACCGAUCGAGCCUCCUUGUAUUCUCGUCGGCUCUUUCAAUAAAGCUCCGACCUUGUUUAUUUUCCUUAAUCUCUUUGUAAUCACGUUAGUUAUCUCAUACUGAUCAAUAAAACGUCUUUGAAGAACCCA